GAUGAACGCUGGCUACAGGCUUAACACAUGCAAGUCGAGGGGAAACGGCAUUGGGUGCUUGCACCGAAUGGACGUCGACCGGCGCACGGGUGAGUAACGCGUAUCCAACCUUCCCGCUACUGCGGGAUAACCUGCCGAAAGGCAGACUAAUACCGCAUGUUCUUCGAUGACGGCAUCAGAUUCGAAGCAAAGAUCCGUCGGUAACGGAGGGGGAUGCGUCUGAUUAGCUAGUUGGCGGGGCGACGGCCCACCAAGGCGACGAUCAGUAGGGGUUCUGAGAGGAAGGUCCCCCACAUUGGAACUGAGACACGGUCCAAACUCCUACGGGAGGCAGCAGUGAGGAAUAUUGGUCAAUGGGCGGAAGCCUGAACCAGCCAAGUAGCGUGCAGGAUGACGGCCCUACGGGUUGUAAACUGCUUUUAUGCGGGGAUAAAGUGAGGGACGCGUCCCUUUUUGCAGGUACCGCAUGAAUAAGGACCGGCUAAUUCCGUGCCAGCAGCCGCGGUAAUACGGAAGGUCCGGGCGUUAUCCGGAUUUAUUGGGUUUAAAGGGAGCGUAGGCCGGGGAUUAAGUGUGUUGUGAAAUGUAGGCGCCCAACGUCUGACUUGCAGCGCAUACUGGUUCCCUUGAGUACGCGCAACGCCGGCGGAAUUCGUCGUGUAGCGGUGAAAUGCUUAGAUAUGACGAAGAACCCCGAUUGCGAAGGCAGCCGGCGGGAGCGCAACUGACGCUGAAGCUCGAAGGUGCGGGUAUCGAACAGG
rnacentral:rRNA from 1 species